rnacentral:rRNA from 1 species
AGCGAACGCUAGCGGCGGGCCUAACACAUGCAAGUCGAGCGCAUACCUUCGGGUAUGAGCGGCGGACGGGUGAGUAACGCGUAGGUCAUCUACCCUUUGGUGGGGGAUAACCCAGGGAAACUUGGGCUAAUACCGCACGAGGUCUACGGAUCAAAGCCUUCGGGCGCCAGAGGAUGAGCCUGCGUCGCAUUACCUAGUUGGCGGGGUAACGGCCCACCAAGGGGACGAUGCGUAGCUGGUCUGAGAGGAUGAUCAGCCACACUGGGACUGAGACACGGCCCAGACUCCUACGGGAGGCAGCAGUGGGGAAUAUUGCGCAAUGGGGGAAACCCUGACGCAGCCACGCCGCGUGGGUGAUGAAGGCCUUCGGGUUGUAAAGCCCUGUCGGGAGGGACGAAUUCUUGACGGUACCUCCAAAGAAAGCACCGGCUAACUCCGUGCCAGCAGCCGCGGUAAU